GCGUCCUUGGUGUAAUGGUAACACACAAUCUAGUCUUACGGCUGUGUGGCACAUCUAAGAUUGGGUCCGGGGUUCGACUCCCCGAGGGCGCA